rnacentral:misc_RNA from 1 species
GAUGAGGAACGUAGCGAAAUGCGAUACGUAGUGUGAAUUGCAGAAUUCAGUGAAUCAUCGAAUCUUUGAACGCACAUUGCACCUCUCGGUAUUCCGGGAGGUAUGCCUGUUCGAGCGUCAUUUGUACCCUCAAGCUCUGCUUGGUGUUGGGUGUUUGUUCCGCCUCUGUGUGUGAACUCGCCUCAAAACAAUUGGCAGCCGGCGUACUUGUUUCGGAGCGCAGCACAUUUUGCGAUCCAGAUCAACGUACAGCGGCAUCCAAGAAGCCUUAUUUAACGCUCUUGACCUCGGAUCAGGUAGGGAUACCCGCUGAACUUAAGCAUAUCAAUAAGCGGAGGA